rnacentral:rRNA from 1 species
UACGAAGGGGGCGAGCGUUGUUCGGAUUUACUGGGCGUAAAGGGCGCGCAGGCGGUUCUGUUUGUCGAGUGUGAAAGCCCCGGGCUCAACCUGGGAACUGCGCUCGAAACGGCGGAACUAGAGUUCGGGAGAGGAGAGUGGAAUUCCGUGGUGUAGCGGUGAAAUGCGCAGAUAUCAGGAGGAACACCGAUGGCGAAGGCAGGUCUCGUGGGCCGAUACUGACGCUGAGGAGCGAAAGCGUGGGGAGCGAACAGG